rnacentral:rRNA from 1 species
GACGAACGCUGGCGGCGUGCUUAACACAUGCAAGUCGAACGGAAAGGCCCUGCUUUUGUGGGGUGCUCGAGUGGCGAACGGGUGAGUAACACGUAAGUAACCUGCCCUUGACUUUGGAAUAACUUCAGGAAACUGGGGCUAAUACCGGAUAGGAGCUCCUGCUGCAUGGUGGGGGUUGGAAAGUUUCGGCGGUUGGGGAUGGACUCGCGGCUUAUCAGCUUGUUGGUGGGGUAGUGGCUUACCAAGGCUUUGACGGGUAGCCGGCCUGAGAGGGUGACCGGCCACAUUGGGACUGAGAUACGGCCCAGACUCCUACGGGAGGCAGCAGUGGGGAAUAUUGCACAAUGGGCGGAAGCCUGAUGCAGCAACGCCGCGUGCGGGAUGACGGCCUUCGGGUUGUAAACCGCUUUCGCCUGUGACGAAGCGUGAGUGACGGUAAUGGGUAAAGAAGCACCGGCUAACUACGUG